rnacentral:rRNA from 1 species
GAUGAACGCUGGCGGCGUGCCUAAUACAUGCAAGUCGAGCGAACAGACGAGAGUGCUUGCACUCUCUGACGUUAGCGGCGGACGGGUGAGUAACACGUGGGUAACCUACCUAUAAGACUGGGAUAACUUCGGGAAACCGGAGCUAAUACCGGAUAAUAUUUAGCUUCGCAUGAAGCAAUAGUGAAAGACGGUUCUGCUGUCACUUAUAGAUGGACCCGCGGUGUAUUAGCUAGUUGGUGAGGUAACGGCUCACCAAGGCAACGAUACAUAGCCGACCUGAGAGGGUGAUCGGCCACACUGGGACUGAGACACGGACCAGACUCCUACGGGAGGCAGCAGUAGGGAAUCCUCCGCAAUGGACGAAAGUCUGACGGAGCAAUGCCGCGUGAGUGAAGAAGGUUUUCGGAUCGUAAAACUCUGUUGUAAGGGAAGAACAAGUACGUUAGUAACUGAACGUACCUUGACGGUACCUUACCAGAAAGCCACGGCUAACUACGUG